GCGGGAAGCUUUGUGCACUCGGCGAAGACGGGAGCCCGCCCACCGCAACUGGACCGCGGCUGCCUAGCUCUGCCGCCUGGCAACCCUCACGACCUCCCCUAGCCCGCCAGUGUCGGCUACCAGUGCCUGUCCCGGGGAACGCCCGACGCCCGGACUCCAUGGUCCUCAGCCCGGGCGUGCCGUACGACUCUCCGCGCCUGCCCCUGAGGUCCCCCAGAAACCAAGACUUGCUCGGAGUCUGGCAGAGAGAAGGCCGCGUGGCCCGCAUCCCCGCCCAGGGCCUCCUGGCUGUGCUGGUACCUGGAUCCACACUGCAGAGACACAGGUGGUCACAAAAGCCACAUUACUCAGCUCCAGAGGAUACAACAGAAGUGAACAAAAGCAGUAAAGCCGCAUCAGACCUCCAUAGUUGGUACCACAGGCCAGGGCUCGCCAGAACUGCUCAAAGCAGCCAGCACUCAGCUUGCUCAAGACCACUCCCCUAG
rnacentral:lncRNA from 1 species